ACUAGUUACGCGGGAAGCGAACGCGGACCAGUCGAAAAAGAACCGAAAAACGAAGCCGCCUUCGGUUUGUUUUUGAAGGCGGCAAAUAACCGCAAUUCCGUGGAGUUACAGUGCCCACUCAGCUAGUUUUUACCGAGCCACGACAUGCAAUAAGCACCGAAAUGGUAAGUUAAUCGUGAUAUUUUACUGUAGUUGCGCUCGUGGAAUGAAAGAGACAAGAAUUUACACAAACAAAAUGCAUUUGUUUUCCUCGUUUGCUUUAUGCGUUGAUUUUGUUCACUUCUGUACAACAUCUAAUCGCUGGAAGAGUCUUUUGUGUAAACAUUUAUUAAAAAAGUGGAAAAGAAUUAAUAAAUAAAUCAAAUUAAUAUAAACAGCCAGCUGGCGUUUUGAGCGGCUUAAACUUUAUUUUGAGUGAGGAAAUUGUUCUAGCCUAUAACGUCGAUGGGGUCCAAGGGAAGAAGGCCCUUAGGACCCACAAAGAAUUUUUUGCAGCUUUGCUAGAAUGUAUUCCGCCUGGCGAUGAGCCCCCCGAAAACACUGUGCGGAAGGCAAUGCAAAGGAUGAAGAAAAGGGUAUUUAAGAAGAAGUGUCUUGCCAAAAACCAGGAGUAGGCUAAGCAUCAUAUAAUUUAAAAUUAUUCGUUAUAAUGAAA